AAAAGAACUCUGAAGAGAGGGUGCAAAGCGCGUGAAACCGCCCAGGGGUAAACUGGCUGAGCCGAGCGACGUGUCUCGCCGGGGCGGCUAGCCUUCCCUUUCCUUCUUCCCCCUCUCGCGGGGGGGUUGGAGAGGGGGGCUAGCCCUCCCCCGGUGAGUCUCCGCCGUCACCGGCGCCGGGUCGUUUCGUCCGCGUUCCCUUCCUCGUGUCGUCGGCAUCGAGGGCUAACGGGGGUUCGUCGCGACGAGAGCGGCUGCUGGUGCCGAGGUAGACCGCGGGCAACGAGGUGUCCCCCCACUCGCGGCCAUCGGCCGUGGAUGGGCCUCGCCCGCUACGAGGUGAACGGCGUCUUUCCGGUAACCUGCCCGACCCGUCUUGAAACACGGACCAAGGAGUCUGGCGCUCGUGCGAGCCGCAGGGUUUUCACUAAACCCCACGGCGAAGUGAAAGCGAGAGGGCUCCUCGCGAGCCGGGGGCGAGAUCCCGGGGAGGCGAUUUUUUUGUCUCCCGGGCGCAUCGCCGGCCCGACAGUCGCCGCGUCGUCGGCCUUGUCGGAGCAUGAGCGCGAGUGUCGGGACCCGAUAGAUGGUGAUCUACGCCUGAGCAGAGCGAAGCCGGGGGAAACUCUGGUGGAGGCUCGAAGCGACUCUGACGUGCAAAUCGACCGCCCGACUUGGGCGUAGGGGCGAAAGACCAAUCGAACCAUCUAGUAGCUGGUUCCCUCCGAAGUUUCCCUCAGGAUAGCCGGCGCCGAAGCUACGAUUUUCACUCGGUAAAGCGAAUGGUUGGAGGCAUCGGGGGCGAAACGUCCUCGUCCUACUCUCAAACUUUCAACGGGUGAGGCUCCAGACCCGCCUCACACACGCAUACACGGGGACUGGCCUCGAAUCAAUUGGUGCCGAGUGGGCCAUUUUUGGUAAGCAGAACUGGCGCUGCGGGAUGAACCGAACGCCCGGUUGUGGUGCCCAACGCAGGACGCUCACGGGAAAGCUAAAAGGUGUGGGUCGGUACUGACAGCAGGGCGGUGGCCACGGAAGUUGGAAUCCGCCAAGGAGUGUGUAACAACUCACCUGCCGAACCGACCCG
rnacentral:rRNA from 1 species